UUGUGCUUUCCGGGUUUCUGGGUAACACGACAAGCAGUGUUUUCCUGUCUUAUUAACUUCAGGAGGGUGAGGAAAGAGAGCCUUGUCAAGGGGGGAAGGACUGUUUAUAUCUGCUAUAAUUAACUGGUUUAUCCUGGAUCCAAAGCCAAUCACGGGAACACUGGGCAUCAGGUGGACCUGAGAAGCUGAGGCCAUCAUGGUAAAGUCAGAGACCUGGCUUUUCUCCUGCACACACAGCUGUACAAAUGGGACUUGCACCUGAGCAAAAUUGCGAGUGAUGAUUAAGGAACACCUAAUGCAAUAGAAACCUAGGCUGACCUUCCAGACUUGAUGAGUCAACCCUAUACAACUUUGUUGCCUUGUGUACCAAAGACCCCAAGAGGAUGCAUACACUGCAGGGGGUUGUACACAUGCACUGCUGUGAGUCGCUGACCCUGUCACUGACAUCAACCUGACUCCUAAAAAGCAACAGACACUGCAUGUAGCCUUGUUUAUGCCUUUGGCAAUAACAACUUAGCUCACUAGACAAGUCAUUCAAUUAUGUAAGAGUGUUAUAUUUAAUCUACUGCAGCUUAUGCACCAUGGGAGAACAGGACAUGAGACAGAUCGCAGUGACGUCACUGUUGACAAAAAAGCAGUGAGAAUCCUUGGGGACAAAAUAGCACAUAAACAAACACUUAUAUGAAUCACAGCAGCCUCAUCGUAUAACAUCAUAGAGGCCAAAGUUGUGUACAACCUUAUUACUGAAUCCACCUUCAAAUCAUUUUUAAGUCAAUUCAAAAUAACAGCAUGACAAGAAGUGUUUUAUUUCUUAUACUACUGCAAUGUGCUAACGAUUACAAUUAUUAUUUAUGAAAUAUGACACUUCAUACUUUUAUCCAUUUAUAGUUUUGUUGUGUAAUGUUACAACAGGUAUAAACAGUCAUUCACUUACCAGCCUUUUAUUCUAUUUCUUGAAGUUUAUAACAAAGAUGUUGCAGCUUUUUAUGUCACUGAGAACCCGAAAGCACAAAGUGCUCUGUCCUAAAGACUUUCCCAUGGCCCAAAACAUAAAGAAUCAGCUUUACCUCUGACUAUAAUGAUGUGAAAACCUCCACAUAUCAACAAUUACAUGUAAACUGUAAAUUGCUACCAUAGAAACGAUAUUGUAGAAUGGAGCACUUUAAUAUAAACCCUGCGUCCCCAACUACUGAAAAUUAAUCAACAGGACCAAUCAGAAUAAAGAAUUGAACACCAGUCUGGUAUAAUGGGUAAUAUUGCAUUAGAUUAAACCCUGUUCAUUCAAGACGUUGAAGAAUAAAGGUGAAUGUCAUGAGACAAACUCUGGAGAUAUUGCUCAUUUCAGAAUAUUAAUCUCAAGCUUGUUCUUUUUAAAAGCUGUGAAAACCACAUGGCUAUGGAAAAUUUGCCUUGUAGCCUAAUAAGACAUCUCUUUUUGGGCAAAUGCACAAAAGCAUGAAGCAAUACAGAGAAAUAGGUAUAUUGUACUGUACUGCAGCCAUUCAUUUUAAAAUCAGUAGUGGUGUGUGACCUAUGAACCCAUCAGGUAAUGAGAGCUUUCUCCAUGGCUGUGCAGACUCCUACAAAUUGUGGACAUUUUUAUUGUGUUCAACCUGACAUCUUGUGGUUAAAGUCAAUCACUACAUCCAAGUACUAGUCAAUUAAAAAUAUGUACCUGCACCAAUUAUAUAAUUACAGGUAACAAUCACAUUUUUACAAGGUUUCUUCGCUGACAAUCUGUAAUUUGCUGUAAAUUAGUAACAGGGAUGAGUUUUUUGUUGUUGUUUUUUUAAGCGUAGAAGUAGCAAAUGCACAAAAUGUGGUUAACUAGCUUCCAAGCUAAUGCCAUUAGGACAUUAAAGACAAUAAAUUAGGAUUUAUUUUUCAAUCUAUAAUAUGGGUAACAGGGUUGUACUUUUCAGUAAGCUCAUUAAUCAGUAUCAAAAUAUUACUUAAAAUAAAGAAUAAACCAAUGAGAGAGCUUACUUUUCUUCAUCUCAUGAUCUUCAGGAAAUUUGGAUGAUGUAGCGCUCUGUUGAACACAUGACUUGUGGAAUAUUUCAAAUAUUUCACAGGACUGAAUGUGUUCAGUUUUGACUUUUUGUGUUCGGUUUGAGUGUAUGUAGUGGAAGUAGAACGUACAUUUUUCAAAACUUAUAAUGGAUGACUCGUGGCAAAAGAUGUUUCCAUACACAUUAAUGCAAAAAUAAUGCAAUUUCUGAAGUAUAAUAAUGAUUAUAUUUCAAGGAAAGUGCAGUUAUAGUGGGAUUAGACAGAAAAAAUGCUGUUUACCGUUAUUUCAUAUAUGUUUGUAAAUGCAUAUCAGUGUGACACUAAUGGCACGCCAAUCGUGGAUUUACCAUCUUGCUCAGUCAUUUUAAUAACAGGUUUCUGGUCAUGCUAUAGAACUUUAUAUUUUAUUUAGGCUAUUAAUGAUUAGCAGCCUAAGACUAAGGGCUAUACGUGCUGUUUUUUUCAGUGCCAUGACUAAACCCUUAGCACGCACAGACCUCCCUCAAACCCAAUCUCAGACCCAUAUGCUUUAGUUUAAGAGACUGCUGCUGAGCUGUGGGGCGGCUGAGCUGAGGAGAGACAGGAGGAAGGAGGAAACUGCUUCCUCGCAGCUCACACACACAUGGAGUCUCUUUCUAGUGGCCCACAAGGAUAAUGGACCUGUGGACACGAUGCAGAGCCUUUUACCAUUUGAAUAUGUGUGGUUCCAAUUACACCAGGGAAGGAUGAAACAAUACGUGUGAGCAACCGCCGCUGAUCGCUGCUCUCUUUCUUUCUAGUUGGAAUUGAUUUGUCGUGUGAGAAGAACUAGUGGCCUUUCAAGCAGACACAAUGCUUGAGAGAAUGGCAUGAAGAAAGUUGUGAGGGUUUCAGGUGUGCAUGGUGUGUUUAUAGGAAAUUGAGCUACUUUGUGAACCUUGCCUUUUGUUCUAACCAGAUACAAAUGGAAGGCACACUUUGGGUUUGGUUCUUUAUUUUUUGGUAAGCUUGCCAGAAAGGUUAACAGGGCAUCUGGUUCAGACUAGAGGUUUGUAUCGGGUGCGCUACAAAAAAGUCGCACGAACAGGAUGUUUUUACUUUCAUGUGGGCACAAGCGAGCAUUCAGAUAUGAAGCUUGCAGGACAAAGCAAGACUACACCAUUCGUUCAUCCUUAGUAAUUGCCUAAUUAGGGUCUCAGUGGUUUUAAUUAGGCUACUAAUUUAUAUAUUGGGAAACAGAACCAACUAAAGUGAUCAGAAAAUAUCAUGGCCAGGUACAAACUUACAUUCCAAACAUACCUGUGCAUAUCUCUUCAGUGAUGUAACUGAGGUUGAGGAACCAUCAGAGAAUUCACACACCAUGCUGACAAU